rnacentral:rRNA from 1 species
AGCGAACGCUGGCGGUAGGCCUAACACAUGCAAGUCGAACGGCAGCACAGUAAGAGUUUGCUCUUACGGGUGGCGAGUGGCGGACGGGUGAGGAAAAUAUCGGAACCUACUCUUUCGUGGGGGAUAACGUAGGGAAACUUACGCUAAUACCGCAUAUGACCUACGGGUGAAAGCAGGGGAUCUUCGGACCUUGUGCGAUUGAAUGCGCGGAUGUCGGAUUAGCUGGUUGGCGGGGUAAUGGCCCACCAAGGCGACGAUCCGUAGCUGGUCGGAGAGGAUGGUCAGCGGCACGAGAGCGGGAACGCGGUCCAGACGCCUACGAGAGGGAGCAGUGGGGAAUAUUGGACAAUAGGCGCAAACAUGAUCCAGCCGUACCGCGUGGGUGGAGAAGGCGUUCGGGUUGUAAAGACCUUUUGUUGGGAGUGAAAAGCAGCAGGUUAAUACGCCGCUGUUCUGACGGUACCCAAAGAAUAAGCACCGGCUAACUUCGUG